UACGUAGGUCCCGAGCGUUGUCCGGAUUUAUUGGGCGUAAAGCGAGCGCAGGUGGUUUAUUAAGUCUGGUGUAAAAGGCAGUGGCUCAACCAUUGUGUGCAUUGGAAACUGGUAGACUUGAGUGCAGGAGAGGAGAGUGGAAUUCCAUGUGUAGCGGUGAAAUGCGUAGAUAUAUGGAGGAACACCGGUGGCGAAAGCGGCUCUCUGGCCUGUAACUGACACUGAGGCUCGAAAGCGUGGGGAGCAAACAGG
rnacentral:rRNA from 1 species